rnacentral:rRNA from 1 species
CUACGGGAGGCAGCAGUGGGGAAUUUUGCACAAUGGGCGCAAGCCUGAUGCAGCAACGCCGCGUGAGGGAUGACGGCCUUCGGGUUGUAAACCUCUUUCACCCAUGACGAAGCGUGAGUGACGGUAGUGGGAGAAGAAGCACCGGCCAACUACGUGCCAGCAGCCGCGGUAAUACGUAGGGUGCGAGCGUUGUCCGGAAUUAUUGGGCGUAAAGGGCUCGUAGGCGGUUUGUCGCGUCGGGAGUGAAAACACACAGCUUAACUGUGUGCUUGCUUUCGAUACGGGCAGACUUGAGGCAUGCAGGGGAGAACGGAAUCUCUGGUGUAGCGGUGAAAUGCGCAGAUAUCAGAAGGAACACCGGUGGCGAAGGCGGUUCUCUGGGCAUGUUCUGACGCUGAGGAGCGAAAGUGUGGGGAGCGAACAGGAUUAGAAACCCCAGUAGUCC